rnacentral:rRNA from 1 species
UAACCUACGGGGCGCAGCAGUGAGGAAUAUUGGUCAAUGGGCGAGAGCCUGAACCAGCCAAGUCGCGUGAGGGAAGACGGUCCUAUGGAUUGUAAACCUCUUUUGCCGGGGAGCAAAAAGCGGUACGUGUACCGCAUCGAGAGUACCCGGAGAAAAAGCAUCGGCUAACUCCGUGCCAGCAGCCGCGGUAAUACGGAGGAUGCGAGCGUUAUCCGGAUUUAUUGGGUUUAAAGGGUGCGUAGGCGGACGCUUAAGUCAGCGGUAAAAUUGCGGGGCUCACCCUCGUCGAGCCGUUGAAACUGGGG